rnacentral:rRNA from 1 species
AUUGAACGCUGGCGGCAGGCCUAACGCAUGCAAGUCGAGCGGAUGAAGGGAGCUUGCUCCUGGAUUCAGCGGCGGACGGGUGAGUAAUGCCUAGGAAUCUGCCUGGUAGUGGGGGAUAACGUCCGGAAACGGGCGCUAAUACCGCAUACGUCCUGAGGGAGAAAGUGGGGGAUCUUCGGACCUCACGCUAUCAGAUGAGCCUAGGUCGGAUUAGCUAGUUGGUGGGGUAAAGGCCUACCAAGGCGACGAUCCGUAACUGGUCUGAGAGGAUGAUCAGUCACACUGGAACUGAGACACGGUCCAGACUCCUACGGGAGGCAGCAGUGGGGAAUAGUGGACAAUGGGCGAAAGCCUGAUCCAGCCAUGCCGCGUGUGUGAAGAAGGUCUUCGGAUUGGAAAGCACUUUAAGUUGGGAGGAAGGGCAGUAAGUUAAUACCUUGCUGUUUUGACGUUACCAACAGAAGAAGCACCGGCUAACUUCGUG